CCCUUAGAUGUCCUGGGCCGCACGCGCGCUACAAUGACACAUGCAACAAGUUCUAUCCUGGCUCGGAAGAGUUUCGGGUAAUCUUUAUAAUGUGUGUCGUGCUGGGGAUCGAUCUUUGUAAUUAUGGAUCUUGAACGAGGAAUUCCUAGUAAGCAUAAGUCAUCAGCUUGUGCUGAUUACGUCCCUGCCCUUUGUACACACCGCCCGUCGCUCCUACCGAUUUUGAGUGGUCCGGUGAGGCUUUGGGAUCUGAGCGGAAAGAGCGUUUCGCUGUUUCUGCUCGGAAAACUCAGUCGAACCUUAUCAUUUAGAGGAAGGAGAAGUCGUAACA
rnacentral:rRNA from 1 species